rnacentral:rRNA from 1 species
UACGUAGGGGGCUAGCGUUGUCCGGAUUUAUUGGGCGUAAAGAGCGUGUAGGCGGCCAGGUAGGUCUGCUGUGAAAACUCGAGGCUCAACCUCGAGACGUCGGCGGAAACCAUCUGGCUAGAGUCCGGAAGAGGCGAGUGGAAUUCCUGGUGUAGCGGUGAAAUGCGCAGAUAUCAGGAGGAACACCAAUGGCGAAGGCAGCUCGCUGGGACGGUACUGACGCUGAGACGCGAAAGCGUGGGGAGCGAACAGG